rnacentral:rRNA from 1 species
CCUACGGGAGGCAGCAGUAGGGAAUUUUCGUCAAUGGGCGCAAGCCUGAACGAGCAAUGCCGCGUGAACGAGGAAGGUCUUCGGAUCGUAAAGUUCUAUUGAAGGGGAAAAAGAGCGGAGAGAGGAAAUGGUCUCCGAUUGAUAUUACCCUUCGAGGCAGUCACGGCUAACUACGUGCCAGCAGCCGCGGUAAUACGUAGGUGGCGAGCGUUAUCCGGAAUGAUUGGGCGUAAAGGGUGCGUAGGCGGCCUGCUAAGUCUGGAGUGAAAGGUACCGGCUCAACCGGUACAGGCUCUGGAAACUGGCGGGCUAGAGAGCAGGAGAGGGCGGUGGAACUCCAUGUGUAGCGGUAAAAUGCGUAGAUAUAUGGAAGAACACCAGUGGCGAAGGCGGCCGCCUGGCCUGUUACUGACGCUGAGGCACGAAAGCGUGGGGAGCAAAUAGGAUUAGAUACCCGGGUAGUC